rnacentral:rRNA from 1 species
CUACGGGUGGCAGCAGUGGGGAAUAUUGCACAAUGGGCGCAAGCCUGAUGCAGCCAUGCCGCGUGUAUGAAGAAGGCCUUCGGGUUGUAAAGUACUUUCAGCGGGGAGGAAGGGAGUAAAGUUAAUACCUUUGCUCAUUGACGUUACCCGCAGAAGAAGCACCGGCUAACUCCGUGCCAGCAGCCGCGGUAAUACGGAGGGUGCAAGCGUUAAUCGGAAUUACUGGGCGUAAAGCGCACGCAGGCGGUUUGUUAAGUCAGAUGUGAAAUCCCCGGGCUCAACCUGGGAACUGCAUCUGAUACUGGCAAGCUUGAGUCACGUAGAGGGGGGUAGAAUUCCAGGUGUAGCGGUGAAAUGCGUAGAGAUCUGGAGUAAUACCGGUGGCGAAGGCGGCCCCCUGGACGAAGACUGACGCUCAGGUGCGAAAGCGUGGGGAUCAAACAGGAUUAGAUACCCCAGUAGUC